CCCUCAGAGGCCGACACAAAGCUGUGACUGUUUAUCUGCACGUCUCAAACACUCCUCCAUUUGUCUGCAGGCUGAGUGAUCUGACUGAGCUCAGCCUCCAUUUUCUACACGGAGACGCUCAGAGAGGCUUUCAGUUUCAUUUCACAGGAACAGCUUUGCUUCUGUUUUACAUGCAAGUGCUGCACAGAACACAUCCUGUUCAACCUGUUUGUGACUGACUCCAGCUCAGACUCCAGCUGGUCCGACAGGGUCAGGAACAUACCCACUGUUCUCUCUGCUCCCCGGCUAUAGAGGACACCCUGCACUCUCCACCAUGGUUUCAAAGCUCCAGCCAAAUACUGACCAUGCCGCUGUCAGCUGUCACUAUUCUCACUGAGAAAAACUGGUCCUUGUGCUGAUCCUUGGGAUUGUGCUGCUCCCUAAAG